AUCCGGCUGACGAGUCCCAAGUAGGACGAAACGUGUAUCUUGGAU
rfam:Schistosoma haematobium scaffold429_11, whole genome shotgun sequence.